rnacentral:tRNA from 1 species
GCGCCCGUAGCUCAGCAGGAUAGAGCACCAGAUUCCUAAUCUGGGGGCCACUGGUUCGAAUCCAGUCGGGCGCACCA